rnacentral:lncRNA from 1 species
GGGCCAGUCGGCAGGCACCUUUGUUCUCGGCCGCUGCUGUCCGCUGCGCGGUGAUUCACGAAGCUGCAGAGGCGGGCGGAAGGGCGAGGGCGCCCCAGGCGGCACCCAGAGGACGCCUUGCUUGGUUCCUCCCCGCCCCAGCGUCCGCGCCGCGGGACCGUAGCUGGCGUCGCCACGGAGGGCACCUCAGGGGUAGCCGGGGGCGUGCGGAGAGGACGGGAGCCAGGGUCCGCCCUGGUCCACCUGGAUCUCGGCGCUGCGGUUAGGCGCAGGCACACAGCGGUGCAGAAGGAUGUGCCAGAGCUGGGGCGGCAACGAACCUGGUCCUGCCUGGGGGCCCAUCCCCAAUCCUGCGAGGAACUCUGUGUCCACGGGCCUCCUAGGGCUCCAUCCCCAGUCGUACCAGCUUCCCAUUCUACAAAGAACGCACCUGAGAAAAUAGCCAGAAGUCCAUGGAAGAAAGAUGGAGUCAAAACUGCUCUGUCCCAGAGUGUAAACAUGGUGCUCAAAGAAACCUGCCACAGAGAAAGGGCAUCUUUCCCCAAAGUUCUCCUCAUUGACCAGGAGGAACUUGUGUUAGAUUCUCUGGAUAAAUUCAGUUUAAAAAAAAAAAGUAUUCAGUUAUUUGGUUCUACUCUUUCCCUAGAUCAAAUAUGAAUUUAAAACAUAUCAUUACAAGUCAAUGAAUACUGAUUCACCUUGCAAAACAAAGUAUGAAGGAAACACCAUAAGGAUUAAAUCCCUG